rnacentral:SRP_RNA from 1 species
CCAUUGGUCCUCUCGCAUUGAUAACUCGUCAACCUGGUCAGGACCGGAAGGUAGCAGCCAAGGCGGGGGACUCGAGUGCCGGGAUGUGGCUGAUGGGGCC